CUCAAAGAUUAAGCCAUGCAUGUCCAAGUAUAAGCAACUAUACUGUGAAACUGCGAAUGGCUCAUUAAAUCAGUUAUCGUUUAUUUGAUAGUACCUUACUACAUGGAUAUCCGUGGUAAUUCUAGAGCUAAUACAUGCGAAAGGUCGCGCAAGCGGCUGUAUUUAUUAGAUAAAAAACCAACCCUUCGGGUCUUUGGUGAUUCAUGAUAACUCAACGAAUCGGAUGGUCUUGCACCGCCGAUGGUUCAUUCAAAUUUCUGCCCCAUCAACUUUCGAUGGUAGGAUAGUGGCCUACCAUGGUUUCAACGGGUAACGGGGAAUUAGGGUUCUACUCCCGGAGAGGGAGCCUGAGAAACGGCUACCACAUCCAAGGAAGGCAGCAGGCGCGCAAAUUACCCAAUCCCGACACGGGGAGGUAGUGACAAUAAAUACUGAUGCGGGGCUCUUUUGGGUCUUGCAAUUGGAAUGAGUACAAUCUAAAGCCCAUAACGAGGAACAAUUGGAGGGCA
rnacentral:rRNA from 1 species